rnacentral:siRNA from 1 species
GGGGUAUCCCUACAUAGCGGG